GGCAGCACAGGUAGCAAUACCGGGUGGCGACCGGCGCACGGGUGAGUAACGCGUAUGCAACUUACCUAUCAGAGGGGGAUAACCCGGCGAAAGUCGGACUAAUACCGCAUGAAGCAGGGGCCCCGCAUGGGGAUAUUUGCUAAAGAUUCAUCGCUGAUAGAUAGGCAUGCGUUCCAUUAGGCAGUUGGCGGGGUAACGGCCCACCAAACCGACGAUGGAUAGGGGUUCUGAGAGGAAGGUCCCCCACAUUGGUACUGAGACACGGACCAAACUCCUACGGGAGGCAGCAGUGAGGAAUAUUGGUCAAUGGGCGUAAGCCUGAACCAGCCAAGUCGCGUGAGGGAUGAAGGUUCUAUGGAUCGUAAACCUCUUUUAUAAGGGAAUAAAGUGCGGGACGUGUCCUGUUUUGUAUGUACCUUAUGAAUAAGGAUCGGCUAACUCCGUGCCAGCAGCCGCGGUAAUACGGAGGAUCCGAGCGUUAUCCGGAUUUAUUGGGUUUAAAGGGUGCGUAGGCGGCCUUUUAAGUCAGCGGUGAAAGUCUGUGGCUCAACCAUAGAAUUGCCGUUGAAACUGGGGGGCUUGAGUAUGUUUGAGGCAGGCGGAAUGCGUGGUGUAGCGGUGAAAUGCUUAGAUAUCACGCAGAACCCCGAUUGCGAAGGCAGCCUGCCAAGCCAUGACUGACGCUGAUGCACGAAAGCGUGGGGAUCAAACAGGAUUAGAUACCCUGGUAGUCCACGCAGUAAACGAUGAUCACU
rnacentral:rRNA from 1 species